UUUUAGCCUAAGGGAUACAUCUGCCUUACUGUUAUGAAACUUGGGGUAAAUAUUGAUAUUGUAUUCAGAGGCACUCAAAGUGCCAUGUCUCUCCUUCUCCUAAUUCUAUUUUUGAGGUGACUCAAAUUUGUGUGUAGAAGAUGGGCCGUUGAUAUUAGUCAACUGGAAAGGAAGAAAGAAAUUCUUGUUAAGACAUCACAAUGAACAACAUUUGUACCUCCCUUUGUCCUUCUAACCAGCUGCCCUGGCCUGACCAAUGGAAGGUUGGAGUGCUAUGGUCUUACAAAAUUGGCAUACAGUCUCCAGAUGGACUCUGAAUUCUUGGUGGAUAUUUCGGAGGUGCAGAAGUGAUGCUCUAAGAUGCAUUCCGUUGAUGUGAAUGUCACACCAACCCCAGUAGAAUCUGUAUGACAAGAUCUACAGACUGAGGAGAAAACUUCAAAAGAAGGAGGCCUCCUGGAACCGGUUGUGGAACUCUUGCCUGGAACAAAUAUUGAGCUGUAGUUCUCAUGGCAAUUUAUCUGUUUUGUUUUCUUUUAUUCCUUUUCUUAUUUACAACAUGUUCCUCAUAGCCUAGGUCAAGAUUUUAAGCAAGAAUAGUGGGUAAGAAACCAUCCCUUGAGAUGGGGUCACUAACAUGACCUUAUCUCUGGGGAAACCAAUGCUUUACUUCAUAAAUCAUUUAUAAAUUUAUACAACAGUAUUAUGAUAGAGAAAAACUUUUCCAACAAUAAAAUUUCAUAUGGCUACACA